AACAGGUCACGGCGCAGAAUAUCCAAAUGUUCUUGUUACUGCUGGGUUAAAUGAUCCAAGGGUGAUGUACUCUGAACCUGCCAAGUUUGUGGCGAAACUGAGAGAAUGAAGACUGACAACAACUUGCUUUUGUUCAAAUGUGAGCUUGGCGCUGGACAUUUCUCCAAAUCUGGGAGAUUCGAGAAGCUUCAGGAAGAUGCGUUUACGUUUGCGUUCAUGAUGAAAGUUCUGGACAUGAUUCCAGCUUCUGUGUGAGUGAUCAGAAAAAAA